UUGGAAUAUUUGAAUGUGAAUCGUAGAAUCACUGAGAGAGAUUGUCCAAACGGGUGGCCUGCUCAGCUAUAAAUAGGAGAAUAGAAGAGAAUAUGAAUAAGAUGAAAAAAAUUAAAAACUUCAUGAUGUCAUUAGUUUGGCUUAUAUUGUAAUUGAAAUUAAUUUGAUUACAUUACAAUUACAUUAGCAAAUAAGUGUGAAAUAGGAUCACAUAUUAUAUGUUAGAAAAGCCAUUGUCAGGAGACCAAGCCAGUCGUCUCAGGAUGCUGACUGUACUUAGAAAAGGAACAACAUCUAGGGAUUGGAGAAGGAAAAGAAAUAGAGAAGAGGAAUGGAACCAACAUUUAUUAAAGGCCUGACACUUGAAAGACACUAUUCUAAGCGCAUGUUGUCCCAUUUAACAUUUAUAACUCAAUAAGGCAGAGUGUCAUCUCCAAAAAAUAGAUGAGGAAACAAAAAACUUCAAAGAGUUAUGUAACUUGCAAAAAGUUUUAAACUGGCAGCCAACAGAGAAGGCAUUGGAACUCUGGCAUGUCUGCCUGCCGGCCCGGGUUUAUGUGGUUGCUGAACCUGAAAUUAGCAGGGGUAGCAGCACCUGUAGCAAAAGAUCCAUCCUUAUGUUCCUCAUUUUAUGGCUUUAUGAUAGGUGCUGAAAAAAGAAACCCUCAGUGAUGAGGGCCCAACUUUAGAAAAUAAUCUAUUAUUUAAUGGAGGUUAUGUUUUGACACAUUAUUUAAUGGAGGUUAAGUCUUAGCAUACUUUACUUCCUAAAUUUUAUGUAAGACAAACACUUCUGCUGCAGAUAUGUACAGAUAACAGCCUGAGUGUGUUCAUUUUACUAAAAGGCAAACGCUGGUGUUAUAAAAAGAAAUAAAUGAUGAACAUCACUUAGAAGAGUGGUUUUCAAACUUGUGCUUUUAAACUUAUUUUUGAAUGUGAAUCAGUGAGAAAAAUAUACUCUCUUUCAUCACCAACACACACACACAAAUUUCUAAAAUAGUACUUUACCUUAACUGCAUGUAAUGCGUUAUGUAUCCAUCCUAUCCAUCCCACCCCUCCCAAUUCACACCAUAGCGUAACACUUUUUGAAAAAUACUGGUUGUAGAUACACUGAGUUGAUUCCAUAACACACUGUGGGCCAUGAUGUAUGGUUUGGAAUUUACUAAUUGAAAGAUAUCAGGUAAAGCUUCCUGGAGAAUGUAAACUUUAAACUAUAAACUUAGACUAAGAAAAUAAGUAGAACGUAGUUAGGCAAAAAGUAGGGGAUGGGUGGCAGUGUAUGGUUGUAUUCUAGGCAGAGAAAACAGAGGUGCAGAAGCCCAGAAUUGGAAAGGAAUUUGGUGAGAUCAGGAAACCGAGAGAAGGGACGGUAUAGCUGGAAUAUAUUGGCAGAGUGGGAGAGUGAUGAGUGAAUCGAUAUGCAUAUAAACCAAAGCUAUAUAGACCAUAUUAAUAAUGAAUUUUUUGAAAGAUGCUAAUGGAGGAGGGAGAGGUGUGGACUGGAUCACAUUGGUUUCACGAACAGGUCAACCUGGAGGCCGGAUGGGGAAGAAUCUGAGGAGGGGCAAGAGUGGUCAUCAGAAGAGCAGUUAGGGGGCUGUUAUAGUGGGCUGGGUGAGAGACAUAGCAGUUUAGAGUAGGCCAGUGCAGAAGGCUUGGAGGAAAGUAGAUGAGAUAAAGGUAUGUUUAUGAAAUAAAACAAGAAGAUUUGGUGAUGCAUUGGCUGUGAAGAGACAGUGAAGAAGAAUGAGGGGUUAAUGACAAUAGUUAAAAUAAUUACUAACAUUUUACAAUAGUUACUGUGUGUCAGACACUUUCCUAAGCACUUUAUAUGUUAAAUUUGGCCUUCAAACAUUUUUCUGAAUGCAACUCAAGUUAAGAAAUCUAUUUUAUGUUCUCAGAUACACACAUGUAUUCAUAAAACAGUACCUCAGAUUUCUGGCUUAACAGUUAGGUAAAGGCUAGUGCUAUAACUGAAAUAAAGAAUAAUGGAGAAGUCUGUUUUUGGAGGGGGAAGGGGGGAAUGAUGAGUUUGAUUUUGCAUAUCGUGAAUUUUAGAUGUCUGUGUGUGGAUCUGAGCUCAGAAAAAUAAUUUGGGCUAUAGAUAAAACAUUUGGGAAUAAUCAAUGCAUAGAUAAAAAUUAAAGCCUGUGGACGGAGUGAGACAAUCUGGGCACAGAACACAGAGUGAGAAGAAAACGAGGUUUACUUUAGAGCCGUGUACAAAUCAAAUAUUAAUAGUCAAAUUGAGGAGGAAGAGCUGAGAAAGGAGCCUGAAAAGAGUGGCUUAGGACAGAGGAGAAUGUCAGGGGAGGGUGUGGUCACAUGGUCACAGAAUUGAGGUGUUUUGUUUGCUUGUAAAAUGACGAGUAUAUAAGAACGCGUAAUGAACUGUGUCAAAUACCUCUGUAAAGUCAAGUCAAGUAAUAAUAAUAAAAGUUCCUUCUGGAUUUAGAACACGCUUGUUGGUGGUGACCCUAGUGAGAGGUGAUCUCUGUGGUGCAAUGUGUAAGCGUUGUAAACGUGUGACUUAAACGAAUUGUAUUUAAUCUAUGACUAGGUAAAAUUCACAAGUUAACAUGUUUUUCAGGUAAUAUUCCCAUUUUUGGAUAGUUAAAGACCUAGUCAAAAUUAUAGCUUGGCCCACAAAGUCUGAUGUUGGAACUCUGCCAAGUGUGAAGACGUAUUCUUCCAUCACGGUAAGGAUAUGUGGAUGAGAAGAACCACAACACAAUGAAGACAACAGUCAAGUAAGAAAGUUCUUGUAUCAGCACAAAGGAAAUUUUGCAGGAGUUGGGGAAUGAGGAGAAGUUGGAGGCAUGGAGAGGGGAGGUGUGGGGAGAGAAGCAGCUGUCAUUGUACAAGAUGACUUAGUGAGACAUUGAGAAAGACCAGAUGUUAGCAACAAAAAAUAUGUUUACAUUCCUAGAGGAUAAAAAGAGAGUUGGGGAGGCUGUUGCUUUUCAAACCACAGCUCGUGUAUAGUUUAAGAGAAAAAGGAGACCACAAAAUCUAGAAGCAGGGUCUUCUGCUUUUUCUCUUGGUGUGGACGACAACUUGGGGCUCCCCCCUUCUCAAAGUGAGCACUCCAGCAGACAGACAAGAGAAAACCAGUAGGUGAAAGUUAUGUCACAUCGCUGGAGAUAAUUUGCUCUAUGUAAUUCUGAAGACAUCAUUUCAGUGAAGAUCUCUUCUUGUAAUUCUUCAAGACGUUUUUCUUUGAGGGGAUCAUGCUAACAAAAUGGAAAAAUGCUUCUGACAUCUAAAAGAGUAUCUUUGCCAUCCAUCCUUUUGUUGUAGCUAUUAAAAUGUGUAGAUGCAAAAUUCUGACUCCAAUUACAAUGUGUGUGGAGGGUUUCCACACCACUAAGCAAUUCUUGGACACCAGCUGGGUGUCAUAUACUUCAACUCAAUUCUGACACUAUCUACCUGGAGAUGGUGUCAGAUCCCACAGGUUAAGGGUUCAGUGAUACAAGACUGCACCCCGCCCCUUUCAGAUGCCAACUGCAAGUCCAGGUUGUCACCUGUGCUUCUGACGGACUGGCUAUAGAUCGGAGGUUCCAGUGACCGCUCCUUGGGUUUGAUUACUUCACUAGAAUGCUCAC